rnacentral:rRNA from 1 species
UUUUUAUGGAGAGUUUGAUCCUGGCUCAGGACGAACGCUGGCUGCGUGCUUAACACAUGCAAGUCGAACGCUGAAGCCUGGUGCUUGCACUGGGUGGAUGAGUGGCGAACGGGUGAGUAACACGUGAGUAACCUGCCCCCGACUUCGGGAUAAGCCCGGGAAACUGGGUCUAAUACCGGAUAUGAGCAUUCCUCGCAUGAGGGAUGCUGGAAAGUUUUUUCGGUUGGGGAUGGGCUCGCGGCCUAUCAGUUUGUUGGUGAGGUAAUGGCUCACCAAGACGACGACGGGUAGCCGGCCUGAGAGGGCGACCGGCCACACUGGGACUGAGACACGG